rnacentral:misc_RNA from 1 species
GAUGAAGAACGUAGUGAAAUGCGAUACUUGGUGUGAAUUGCAGAAUCCCGUGAACCAUCGAGUUUUUGAACGCAAGUUGCGCCCGAAGCCAUUAGGCCGAGGGCACGCCUGCCUGGGCGUCACACGUCGUUGCCCCCCCAUCUACUCCUUCGGGAUUGCGGGGGGCGGAUGAUGGCCUCCCGUGCGCCUCGCCGCGCGGUUGGCAUAAAUGCCAAGUCCUCGGCGACGCACGCCACGACAAUCGGUGGUUGCGAAACCUCGGUUGCCCGUCGUGUGCGGUCGUCGCGCAUCGAGGGCUCGAAAAAAUUGCCGGGUUCCGGCUCGGCUUUCAACGCGACCCCAGGUCAGGCGGGGUUACCCGCUGAAUUUAAGCAUAUCAAUAAGCGGAGGA